rnacentral:rRNA from 1 species
GAUGAACGCUGGCGGCGUGCUUAACACAUGCAAGUCGAACGGAGAUGUUUCGCUGAAGCGAGCUUGCUCAAUUCUUGAGACAUCUUAGUGGCGGACGGGUGAGUAACGCGUGGGUAACCUGCCAUAUACAGGGGGAUAACACUUAGAAAUAGGUGCUAAUACCGCAUAAGCGCACGGUGUCGCAUGACACAGUGAUCAAAGGAGCAAUCCGCUAAAAGAUGGGCCCGCGUCUGAUUAGAUAGUUGGUGGGUAACGGCCUACCAAGUCGACGAUCAGUAGCCGGACUGAGAGGUUGAUCGGCACAUUGGGACUGAGACACGGCCAGACUCUACGGGAGGCAGCAGUGGGGAAUAUUGCACAAAUUGGAGGGAAAACUCUGAUGCAGCGACGCCGCGU